GUGGGGAAUUUUGGACAAUGGGCGAAAGCCUGAUCCAGCCAUGCCGCGUGCAGGAUGAAGGCCUUCGGGUUGUAAACUGCUUUUGUACGGAACGAAAAGACUCCUUCUAAUAAAGGGGGUCCAUGACGGUACCGUAAGAAUAAGCACCGGCUAACUACGGGCCAGCAGCCGCGGUAAUACGUAGGGUGCAAGCGUUAAUCGGAAUUACUGGGCGUAAAGCGUGCGCAGGCGGUUAUAUAAGACAGAUGUGAAAUCCCCGGGCGCAACCUGGGAACUGCAUUUGUGACUGUAUAGCUAGAGUACGGUAGAGGGGGAUGGAAUUCCGCGUGUAGCAGUGAAAUGCGUAGAUAUGCGGAGGAACACCGAUGGCGAAGGCAAUCCCCUGGACCUGUACUGACGCUCAUGCACGAAAGCGUGGGGAGCAAACAGGAUUAGAAACCCGGGUAGUCC
rnacentral:rRNA from 1 species